UGUCAAAACUCACUGAAAUGUCUUUGGAGGAGAGGCUACGGCAGUACAGGGAUGAAAUAUGCCCUGUGCAAUAUUUAUUGCUAAAUGGCCACUAUCCUCCAGAACUAACGCGCAAUCAGAUAAAAAAUGUGAGGAGACAGAAGGCAGUAUAUAUGAUGAAAGAGAACAAGUUACAUAAAUUCCAGAAAAGAAGAAAUGUCUGGGUACAAGUUAUCACUACCCCUGGUGAAGUCCAUGAAAUUCUAAAGAUGUACCAUGUAGUAAGUGGAUGUCACCGGGGGGUAGUGAAAACAAAAGCUGCCAUUGGUGACUUGUACUUCUGGAAAGACAUGACUAAAGACAUUGAGAAUUAUAUAUCAUCAUGUCCAACUUGCCAGACUUUUGAGCCAAUAAAAACCCAAGCCCCUACCCUGAAGCAAAUCAAGGUAUCUCUCCCAAUGGAAGUUGUGGGAAUGGACCUUAU